rnacentral:rRNA from 1 species
GAUGAACGCUGGCGGCGUGCCUAAUACAUGCAAGUCGAGCGAACAGAUGAGAAGCUUGCUUCUCUGAUGUUAGCGGCGGACGGGUGAGUAACACGUGGGUAACCUACCUAUAAGACUGGGAUAACUCCGGGAAACCGGGGCUAAUACCGGAUAAUAUUUUGAACCGCAUGGUUCAAUAGUGAAAGACGGUUUCGGCUGUCACUUAUAGAUGGACCCGCGCCGUAUUAGCUAAUUGGUAAGGUAACGGCUUACCAAGGCGACGAUACGUAGCCGACCUGAGAGGGUGAGCGGCCACACUGGAAAUGAGACACGGUCCAGACUCCUACGGGAGGCAGCAGUAGGGAAUCUUCCGCAAUGGGCGAAAGCCUGACGGAGCAACGCCGCGUGAGUGAUGAAGGUCUUCGGAUCGUAAAACUCUGUUGUUAGGGAAGAACAAAUUUGUUAGUAACUGAACAAGUCUUGACGGUACCUAACCAGAAAGCCACGGCUAACUACGUGCCAGCAGCCGCCGUAA